ACAAAAUCUAAUUCUACAAUCAGAAGCGACUAGCGGCAAAACAAAUACUCUGACAGCGUUGCCAGACUUUAAAAAGUAGCUAUGCUGUAGCUAAAACCCGCCAAAUAAGCAUAGCUAGAUCACCAACAUCUGGUCACACUAUUAACUCGUUUUUGUCACUAGACGCUUCCACUUGCAAAUAGUUUUUUAAUUUAGUGCUUAAAAUGCAGAAAAGUGCAUACAAAUUGAAUUUUCAGAAAACUAAUGCAAUUGUAGUCCAAAUGAUUCUAUUCCCACUAAAAACAAUUCGACGGUUGUUGGAAUAUUGCAAAAACUUUCUAAUUGGAAAAAAGGAAGAAGAAGAAAGGAAAAAAUGGUCAGAUACCACCGACUCGUCUAAUAUUUGUUGGUGUUGGAUUGAGAGGUCGUGCCCUUUGGAGGAAAACCCAAAAUGCAAUAUAUGUAUGGCUACCCAGACUAACUUUUAAUACCUAACAUGUAACGAUCUUCGUUCAGGAAGACCCUCUAUAUCAUGGCUUGAGAGUUGUUACCAUGUCAAAUGAAACACUAGAUGCAAUAUAUGUAUGUAUGUCUGUAGGUUAAUAAGAGAUCAGGCCCAUUCCUUGAAGACCUUAGAGAUAGCUACUUAUCGCCUUAGAGAGAUGCAAGCUUCACGUCCUAAUGUCAAGAACCCCAACUGCCCUUUGGUUCUCUAUGUAUUCUAGAACUCGACGCCAGGCUUACAUUUAUCCAUUGUUUCUGUUUCGUGGAUUAUUUUUAAAUUA